rnacentral:hammerhead_ribozyme from 1 species
GCACUGCUGACGAGUUCGAAACAGGACGAAACAGCUGUCCAGUGA